AUUGAACGCUGGCGGCAGGCCUAACACAUGCAAGUCGAGCGGAUGAAGGGAGCUUGCUCCUGGAUUCAGCGGCGGACGGGUGAGUAAUGCCUAGGAAUCUGCCUGGUAGUGGGGGAUAACGUCCGGAAACGGGCGCUAAUACCGCAUACGUCCUGAGGGAGAAAGUGGGGGAUCUUCGGACCUCACGCUAUCAGAUGAGCCUAGGUCGGAUUAGCUAGUUGGUGGGGUAAAGGCCUACCAAGGCGACGAUCCGUAACUGGUCUGAGAGGAUGAUCAGCCACACUGGAACUGAGACACGGUCCAGACUCCUACGGGAGGCAGCAGUGGGGAAUAUUGGACAAUGGGCGAAAGCCUGAUCCGGCCAUGCCGCGUGUGUGAAGAAGGUCUUCGGAUUGUAAAGCACUUUAAGUUGGGAGGAAGGGCAGUAAGUUAAUACCUUGCUGUUUUGACGUUACCAACAGAAUAAGCACCGGCUAACUUCGUG
rnacentral:rRNA from 1 species